ensembl:lincRNA Jpx Jpx transcript, Xist activator (non-protein coding)
NNNNCCCACGGCACCACCAGGCUUCUGUAACUUAUAAAAUGGCGGCGUCCACAUGUAUACGUCCUUCCCGGGAUUAGCCAGGCAGCUAGAGGAUGACUUAAUAAGGAGAGUGGAGAAACUGGCCAAUUAAUGAACAUGCCCUGAUCAUUAAUCCACCACUGAAGGAAGUCAGAGCAGAAACUCAAGCAGGGACUUGAAGAAGAAACCAUGGAGGAAUACGGCUUGCUGGCUCACCUUUCAAGAUGUUCAACUUGGCUGCUCCAGCUACCAUGCCUGCUGCCUGCCACCUCCACUCUGUCAUGGAACUGUAAGCCCAAAUAAACUCUUUUUUUAUCUAAGUUGCCUUGGCCACGUUUUAUCACAAUAUCAGAAAAGUGACUGAUACACAGGGUUUCUUACUGAACCUGGAGCUGGCCAGCAAGCCUGUGGGAGCCAUCUGUUUCUAUCCAUGAGUGCUGCACUGUGCCGUCAUGCUCAGCUUCUAAAGAUGUGCUUGGGAUCUGAACUCAAGUCUUCAUGCAAGCACUUUGCCCAUUGAACUAUCUCCCCCAUCUCUCCCAUGGCUCUUGGUAAUGUUGUUCUAAAAUGUCACUCAAAUAAAUUUGUAUCCUUUUGUAAAGGUAGUGUUUGAAGCCUAUGAAGGAGUCCAAGAAUGGCCACUCCCAAACACAGUGCUUUAUUAUGCUUGCUUUAUCAAAUGAGAGUAGAAGAUACUAGGAAAGUAUACUUUGGUCUGCUUAUACAGCUCAGACCUGCUGAGGAAUAUAAUAAUCACCUCUAUUCUCUUUCUUGAGUUCUCUUCUCUUCUCUUCUCUUCUCUUCUCUUCUCUUCUCUUCUCUUCUCUUCUCUUCUCUUCUCUUCUCUUCCCUUCCCUUCCCUUCUUUUCCUUUCCCUUUCCCUUUCCCCUUCCCCUUCCCUUCUUUUCUUUUCUUUUCUUUUCUUUUCUUUUCUUUUCUUUUCUUUUCCCCUUAGAGAUAGUGUAGCCCUGGCUGUCCUGGAUCUCACUCUGUAGACCAGGCUGUCCCUGAACUCAGAGUGCAUGCACCGCCAUCCCUGGCUUUUCCUUAGGUUUUCAUUAAACUGAUUUGUGCCACAAGGGGAAAUUGGAAACUAUAUAUUCCUAGAUACACCUUUGCCCUCCCUACAUCACUGCCUUAGCCUUAGGUUUCAUUUAAUAGUCCAUAAAAGCCGGGCAGUGGUGGCACAUGCCUUUAAUCCCAGCACUUGGGAGGCAGAGGCAGGCAGAUCUCUGAGUUCGAGGCCAGUUUGGUCUACAGAGUGAGUUCCAGGACAGCCAGGGCUACACAGAGAAACCCUGUCUAGAAAAAAAUAAAAAUUCCAUAAAAAUAGUACACAAGCAGAUGUCUGUCUAGAGCAGUGGUUCUCAGCCUUCCUAAUGCUGCUCGUGGCCCUUUAAUGCAGUUCCUCAUGUUGCGGUGAUUCUCAACCAUAAAAUUAUUUCCAUUGCCACUUCAUAGCUGUAGUUUUGCUACUAUUAUGAAUCACAAUGUAAAUAUUUUCGGAGAUAGAGGUUUGCCAAAGGGGUUGUCAUCUAUGGUAGUUCGAGUACCACUCACUGGUUUAUAGGCUCAACAGAAAGUCCUAGCCCAUUCUAUGUUUCUCUUAAGUUUAUUGAAUUCUCAUAAAAACGACUUUACUACUCCCACUUAAAGUGUAAACAUCCUCCACUUUCCUGCUCCCCAGUGGAAAAUAGGGUUACAUGUAAGCUUCUAAAUUAAAUGAGACUCGUGGAUAGCUACCUUUAAUUUGCAAGCUUUUUCUCUUAUUCAAUCUGUCACUUCCUACUAGUGAGCUUUCACAUAAGGCAGACUAAGUGAUGAGUUAGACUAGUUUAGUACCUUCAGCCAGUUAGAAUUUCCUGUUUGUUGCUUUCCACUCUUAGGCUUUUGCCUUCCCCCAUUGUGUUCCUAAUCAGUUUUCUUGAGGAUGUCUUUCUGGGCUCUGUCUUCCUUCAUCCUGGCCUAAGCCUCUGCCCCACUGCUCUGGAGAUGAAGCUGCGGCUUGCUUUUCUCAGAGUGAUACAUCUUUGUAGGGUGUUUGACAGGGAGCCAUUGCCUCUGGUUUCCUAAAUAACUCCAUUACUCUCAGGUGGUUUUUGCGCUGUGUCUCAGAGCUCUUGUUCCACGUAACUGUCUUUACUUCUGUAGUAAGCCUUAUGUUGUAGUGCUGUACUGUAGUGCUCCUUAGCCUUGUGACUGGCAGGGAGUGUGCCUCAUCUGCUGGUUUAUUAUAUCUCAGUCUUGGAUUGUGUGGUGGAUUCCUGCUCCCUACUCCUGCCCCCUGCUCCCUUUCCCAAAUUUAGACACAGUAUUUAUUUCUACCUUUUCCCCGGAACUGUUUUUAUUUAACCCCUUCCUGUCCAUUCACCAGGGUCAGAUGGCUUUCACAACUGGCCAGAGGCUGUAGUAUUUGUUGCCCUUCUUGUAUGGAAUAAGGAUUUUGUUCUGUAUAGGAGAGGAAGAUCUAAGUAGGGCUUCUUUGUGUGUGUGCUUCUGUGUGGAUUUUUUUUCCAACUCUCCCCACACUGUUUAUGCCUAAAAUGUGUGGUCCGUGGGUCAUUUCCCAGUGUUCUCCUCAACCUUCUGUGUGCCCUGAGCACAUAAAUGAAGAAAAUCCCAGAAGGGAGAACAAAUUUCCUCAUUUUUUAUGCUUUUGAUUCUUGUGCUUGCUUUUGUUUGUUUGUUUGUUUGGUUGGUUGGUUUGGUGUUUUGAGACAGGGUUUCUCUGUGCAGUCCUGGCUGUCCUGGAACUCACUCUGUAGACCACGAUGGCCUUGAACUCAGAAAUCCAUCUGCUUCUGCCUCCCAAGUGAUGGGAUUAAAGUCGUUGCUCCACCACUGCCCGACUAUUCUUGUGCUUGUUAACACAUGUCCCAGCCACUUCUCUUGAUGUCUUAGUGAAGAGGUGGUCAGAUCCACUGGAACUGAAAUUGUGAGCUGCCAUGUGGAUGCUGGGAAUGAAGGCAGGUCCUCUGGAACAGCAAUGAGCCAUCUCUCCAGCCCCUAAUUAUCAAUUUACCCUUUACAAUCUCUACUUUUUUUCUCCUGUGUGAUAGGGUCUUAUGUAGUCCAGAAUGGCUCUUGCUGCCAUCACCUCCCCAGUGCUUCGUGUACUCUAAGAUAGUGAUGCUUACCUUGUAGUUCGCCUUCACUAUGUCUAUCCCUAGCCAUUUCUAUGAGGAGCCUGGGUACUUCCUGUUGAAAAACAGAUUUAGAAGGUAUUGUGUGAGUAUUGAGUGUCCUUUAACCGGUGAAGCUUCAUUGCUUCUGGACUAAGCAGCAACCUAGAAAAUACAUGUAUAUAGUAAUGCUGGUGCCUGGUUAAUUAUCUCAGUGUGUAGCUAUCUGUGUUAUUUAUGAAAAUAAACAUGAAUACACGGAGGACUCUGUAAUGGAGGUAGUAUUGUUUGUUUGUUUGUUUUUUUAACUUUCCUCUGACCAUAGGAAAACUGGUCCUGAAAUGUCUAGUCACUUCUGCAUUUAACUCUGUGUGUAAAAUAGUCUCCUGGUCGCUGAUGCAUGUGGAGAAGUCCAGAUUUACCAGCUAGAACUAGGACUGUUCCUUCAAAGCCAUUUCCAAACAACGCACAAGUUUUCCUUUUUUUUUCUCCAUAGAUGUCAUAUAAAGUUUCUUUAGUACCUUUAAAUCUAGUAUUCAUUAGAAUGAAUAUUUGUAUAAUGAAUGAGUGUUUUGUUUUGUUUUGAAAUCCGGUCAAUUGUUUCACCAUCUUUUGUUGAAAGAUCACCGUUUACCGGUUGUAUGAUGAUUGCAUCUCUGUGAAAAUAAAUUCUCAAAUCGUG